rnacentral:rRNA from 1 species
GGAAUAUUGCACAAUGGGGGAAACCCUGAUGCAGCGACGCCGCGUGAAGGAAGAAGUAUCUCGGUAUGUAAACUUCUAUCGGCAGGGAAGAAAACGGACGGUACCUGACUAAGAAGCCCCGGCUAACUACGUGCCAGCAGCCGCGGUAAUACGUAGGGGGCGAGCGUUAUCCGGAUUUACUGGGUGUAAAGGGAGCGUAGACGGCUGGGCAAGCCUGAUGUGAAAGGCGGGGGCGCAACCCUCGGACUGCAUUGGGAACUGUCCGGCUGGAGCGCCGGAGGGGUAAGCGGAAUUCCUGGUGUAGCGGUGAAAUGCGUAGAUAUCAGGAGGAACACCGGUGGCGAAGGCGGCUUACUGGACGGCGACUGACGUUGAUGCUCGAAAGCGUGGGGAGCGAACAGG